CCUACGGGAGGCUGCAGUGAGGAAUAUUGGUCAAUGGUCGCAAGACUGAACCAGCCAAGUAGCGUGAAGGAUGACUGCCCUACGGGUUGUAAACUUCUUUUAUGAAGGGAUAAAAUGAGUCACGUGUGCCUUUUUGUAUGUACUUUAUGAAUAAGGAUCGGCUAACUCCGUGCCAGCAGCCGCGGUAAUACGGAGGAUCCGAGCGUUAUCCGGAUUUAUUGGGGUUAAAGGGAGCGUAGGUGGGUUGUUAAGUCAGUUGUGAAAGGUUGCGGCUCAACCGUGAAAUUGCAGCGGAUACUGGCAGGCUUGAGUACAGGGGAGGUAGGCGGAAUUCGUGGUGUAGCGGUGAAAUGCUUAGAUAUCACGAAGAACUCCGAUUGCGAAGGCAGCUUACGAAACCGCCACUGACAUUGAUGCUCGAAGGUGCGGGUAUCAAACAGGAUUAGAUACCCGAGUAGUC
rnacentral:rRNA from 1 species